AUGUUAUGGUACCAACUAGUGAGGGCCCAACAUGGUGGUCACUAGAAAUUGGGUUGCUGAUUCAGCGGCAAGCAGAGACGAAUAAGGAGAAAGCCAAAGGCCCAAAAUUGAAGGGUUGUUUGAAAUAGUUGCACCUGUGGUUACAAUAACCUGAGAAGAAUCAAGGGUGCAUGGCUAUGAUGCGGAGGAGGAUGAUUGCUUUGCUCACUUGGAGAUUAAUUUCAAGUUUCACAAGCUAAGCAAAAUGGUGGACGGGGUUUUGGAACACAUCUACAGACCAGGUUAUCAAACCCGAAUCAAAAUGGCUGCAGCCAUGCCAAUCAUGGCAGAAGAAGGUACGUUUGCAUUUUCUUAUCUGUUUGCUACAGAUUGUGGGGUUUCAAAGUUUGGGUUGAAACAAGGCAUCUGAGGACAGAGAACCAUUUUGGUGUUGAACAUGCUAGCAUCAGAGAGCCAACAGGAGAAUGAAGGGAAACAUUAUGGCAGUGUAGUAAUGGAAAUCAAGCAACUCUCAGAUUUUAAGAAUUUUAUUUGCUUGAAGGCUCUUUAGCACAAU
rnacentral:misc_RNA from 1 species